CAGUCGCCACGGGAAUACGAAGGGGGCUAGCGUUGUUCGGAAUUACUGGGCGUAAAGCGCACGUAGGCGGAUAUUUAAGUCAGGGGUGAAAUCCCAGAGCUCAACUCUGGAACUGCCUUUGAUACUGGGUAUCUUGAGUAUGGAAGAGGUGAGUGGAAUUCCGAGUGUAGAGGUGAAAUUCGUAGAUAUUCGGAGGAACACCAGUGGCGAAGGCGGCUCACUGGUCCAUUACUGACGCUGAGGUGCGAAAGCGUGGGGAGCAAACAGGAUUAGAUACCCCAGUAGUCCCUGUCUCUUAUAU
rnacentral:rRNA from 1 species